rnacentral:rRNA from 1 species
AUUGAACGCUGGCGGCAUGCCUUACACAUGCAAGUCGAACGGUAACAGGUCUUCGGAUGCUGACGAGUGGCGAACGGGUGAGUAAUACAUCGGAACGUGCCUAGUAGUGGGGGAUAACUACUCGAAAGAGUGGCUAAUACCGCAUGAGAUCUACGGAUGAAAGCAGGGGAUCGCAAGACCUUGUGCUACUAGAGCGGCCGAUGGCAGAUUAGGUAGUUGGUGGGAUAAAAGCUUACCAAGCCGACGAUAUGUAGCUGGUCUGAAAGGACGAUCAGCCACGCUGGGACUGAGACACGGCCCAGACUCCUACGGGAGGCAGCAGUGGGGAAUUUUGGACAAUGGGCGCAAGCCUGAUCCAGCAAUGCCGCGUGCAGGAUGAAGGCCUUCGGGUUGUAAACUGCUUUUGUACGGAACGAAAAGCCCCGGGUUAAUACCCUGGGGUCAUGACGGUAUCGUAAGAAUAAGCACCGGCUAACUACGUGCCAGCAGCCGCCGUAA